UCCCUAUUCUCCUCCACGCUCUCCUGUUCCUUCUUCUGUUCCUUCCACACCCCCUCCUCCCUAUUCUCCUCCACGCUCUCCUGUUCCUUCUUCUGUUCCUUCCACACCCCCUCUUCCCUAUUCUCCUCCACGCUCUCCUGUUCCUUCUUCUGUUCCUUCCACACCCCCUCCUCCUUAUUCUCCUGUUCCCUCUUGCUCUCCUGCUCCUCCUCUUUCUCCUCCAUGCUCUUCUGCUCUUUCUCCUUCUGUUUCACCUUCACCCCCUCCUCCUUCUCUUCUGGUUCCACCUAUUGUGGCUCCUUCUGAGCUGCCGUGUGUUCCCGAUGCUGGCCUUUUCCUGUCUCCUGUUAUUCAGGACUCAGGCUCCAUAGUGGAAGGGACCAGCGAGGCCUUAGCGGUUGGGGAGAACAACGAGGCUCCUAGCAGCAGCAGCAGCACAUCUGCUAGAGGUAGGAAGGACAGUGAUGGGGAGGGGGCUGCUCCCAAAAGACCAUGUUUUACUGUGAGACACUGUGUCACACAGUAAACUUGGUCUUUCCCUUUGUUGGAUGGCAACAGCCACCUCUUCAUUCACGGAUAACUGGCUUCUGUUUCUGACAGGACCAGUUUAUCCUACUGUCUUCUUUUUUUCUUUCCUGAUUUCUUUCUUCAUAAUUUUAAAUAUUCAUCCAAACCCUGAGAACUAGCCUUUGCGUCUGGCUGGGCAGUUCUUGUCCCAGGUAGCGUCUGGCACUGGGACCUUUCUUUCUUUCCUGGAUGAAUACAGGUUUGAAUGCUAAUAUUUAACCUGAGAACUAGCCUUUGCGUCUGGCUGGGCAGUUCUUGUCCCAGGUUGCGUCUGGCACUGGGGCCUGCGUUUAGAGUUCAGCAUGGUGGUGGGAUGGACUUUUCUUUCACCCUGAAGGCUGAGUUCAGCGCCUGGCAGGGCCGUCGACCCCCCCCCAUACAAGUUGCUCGAGCGUCUGGCAGGGGAGCAGUGCCGAUGAUACUGAUGUACUGACCAGUGUGUCUGUCAGUCCAGUGGACAAAGUUUCAUAAGGAGAAGGCGAUGAGGGCACCAGGAGAGGAG